ACCUCGAUAGCUCAAUAGGUAGAGCACGGAAGUGAAGUUUCUGGGGAAUGAGUUCGAAUCUCGUUUGAGGUA